rnacentral:rRNA from 1 species
GAGUUUGAUCUUGGCUCAGAUUGAACGCUGGCGGCAGGCCUAACACAUGCAAGUCGAACGGUAACAGGAAACAGCUUGCUGUUUCGCUGACGAGUGGCGGACGGGUGAGUAAUGUCUGGGAAACUGCCUGAUGGAGGGGGAUAACUACUGGAAACGGUAGCUAAUACCGCAUAACGUCGCAAGACCAAAGAGGGGGACCUUCGGGCCUCUUGCCAUCGGAUGUGCCCAGAUGGGAUUAGCUAGUAGGUGAGGUAAGAGCUUACCUAGGCGACGAUGUGUAGCCGGUCUGAGAGGAUGAACGGCCAC